AGUGCUCGCAAGAGAACCGGAACACAGGUGCUGCAUGGCUGUCGUCAGCUCGUGUCGUGAGAUGUUGGGUUAAGUCCCGCAACGAGCGCAACCCUUGUCAUUAGUUGCCAUCAUUCAGUUGGGCACUCUAAUGAGACUGCCGGUGACAAACCGGAGGAAGGUGGGGAUGACGUCAAGUCCUCAUGGCCCUUAUGGGUAGGGCUUCACACGUCAUACAAUGGUCGGUACAGAGGGUCGCCAACCCGCGAGGGGGAGCCAAUCCCACAAAGCCGAUCGUAGUCCGGAUUGGAGUCUGCAACUCGACUCCAUGAAGUCGGAAUCGCUAGUAAUCGUGGAUCAGCAUGUCACGGUGAAUACGUUCCCGGGUCUU
rnacentral:rRNA from 1 species